AUUAAACGCUGGCGGAAUGCUUUACACAUGCAAGUCGAGCGGCAGCGCGGGGGCAACCCUGGCGGCGAGCGGCGAACGGGUGAGUAAUGUAUCGGAACGUACCCAGUCGUGGGGGAUAACUAUCCGAAAGGAUAGCUAAUACCGCAUACGACCUGAGGGUGAAAGCGGGGGACCGUAAGGCCUCGCGCGAUGGGAGCGGCCGAUAUCGGAUUAGCUUGUUGGUGAGGUAAAGGCUCACCAAGGCGAUGAUCCGUAGCUGGUCUGAGAGGACGACCAGCCACACUGGAACUGAGACACGGUCCAGACUCCUACGGGAGGCAGCAGUGGGGAAUUUUGGACAAUGGGGGCAACCCUGAUCCAGCCAUUCCGCGUGAGUGAAGAAGGCCUCGGUU
rnacentral:rRNA from 1 species